UACGUAGGGUGCGAGCGUUAAUCGGAAUUACUGGGCGUAAAGCGUGCGCAGGCGGUUUGUUAAGUCUGAUGUGAAAGCCCCGGGCUCAACCUGGGAACUGCAUUGGAAACUGGCAAGCUCGAGUAUGGCAGAGGGGGGUGGAAUUCCGCGUGUAGCAGUGAAGUGCGUAGAGAUGCGGAGGAACACCGAUGGCGAAGGCAGCCCCCUGGGCCAAUACUGACGCUCAGGCACGAAAGCGUGGGGAGCAAACAGG
rnacentral:rRNA from 1 species